CCUCACGCUCCUUUCGCUCGGCUUCCCUUGGUCGCUCCAUCACUCUCUGUCUCCUCAUCUUUGCCGCAGUCCCAAGAGGGCCACUUUAGCUAAACAAGGGAUUUCAAGAUCAGAGGCCAAUCUGCUUUGAGAGAGCGACACUGAAAGAUGCCGUGAAAGAGGCAAAGUGGAGAAAUCAUCAGAGCCUGGAGAGAUACUUCAACACCAGCAACACCAAAGAUAUGCGGCCCAGGCGAACCCAUGAUGCGACACCGCACACUUCCCACGCUUACCCCCAAAUCCACUGAGGCAACAGAAGUCUUCAGCUGACGGUCGGCAGAAAUGGGAGAGGUGUUGGCAAGUUGCAGAUGAGGACUGGAGUUGGAAUAUGCUAACUGGGGAUGUGAGAGCAUGAUGGAGAUAAAGGCACCGAACCAUCUGAGCAGCCUCCCUGUUCCUGCGCCACCAGCUUCUGUUCUGAUUACUGACAACUGCAGCAUAUCAUCCUCUGCAGAGGGAGGGGACAUCUUGGAGUGAACCAUCGCACCCCUCUUGCGGCGGCAUCAGGAUAGAUUAACUGUGUGUGAGCUGGUCUCCAGCAUAGACCCAGUAGGAUUCCAAUUUAUCCAGCACAGCUUGAUGUCAUUGUUCGAUCAGCUCUGUGAGGAAUGCACCAAGGCUGACUGAUUCUGCCCUUCAUCAAGAUAUGCAGGAAUAAAGUUGCAGCAUACCAGGGGUUCUAGGUAUGUCAUGAAUAGUGAUUCUGUAAAUAAACAAGUGAGUUCUGUUAAUUCCAGUCACAACCGAUGUAACUGGAACAUAGCAUGUUAGAUAUCUGUGGUUAGAGGAGAGGGAAGAAGUGCAGCUGCAAAAUCACCUCUGUGGCCCUGAUUUGUCUUCCAACCCAUCUCUGUGGCUCCCUCAGGAGUAGCUUGUGCUGCAGUCUCUACCCCAGUGUUUGCUCUUGCUUUGUUCCCUUUCUCCUUUUCUCUGUCUCUUCCUUUAGUUCCUUAGCUCCUUCACCUCAUUCUGCCCUGUCUUACUGUAACUCUUAAGGUUCAUUUCCAUCUCAUCUCGUACCCUAUAGAAUUCAUAUAUUGUUGAAAAUGUAAGCUUUUUGUGAAUGUGCACUUCAUGCCUGCAGUAGCCUGUAUUGCUUCUCUCUGAUCAUUCCCUGUGUCAGUCUGCCAGGUCAGAGAAGUCAGCAUAAACCAGCCCCAUAGACUGAGAGCUGUUGUUUCAGGCAAACAUACUUGUUCGAUCACUCAAAUGAAAGAUUUACUAAUUAGAUUUCAAGAAAAAGGCAAGAGACAGUACUGAUUUUCAAUUACUCCUAAAAUGAAUCAUUAGUCUUCUAAUUUGCUGAUAUUGGAUUAGGUGGUAGGCAGCCUAAUGCUGGUAUGAAAAAUGAAUACCUCCAGAGGGUUGCCCUGGCAGGGCGUUCACAUCAAGCUAUGGGGUGCUGAG